rnacentral:rRNA from 1 species
CCUACUGGCGUCAGCAGUGGGGAAUAUUGCACAAUGGGCGAAAGCCUGAUGCAGCAACGCCGCGUGAAGGAAGAAGGGUUUCGGCUCGUAAACUUCUAUCAACAGGGACGAAAGCAAUGACGGUACCUGCAUAAUAAGCCCCGGCUACAUACGUGCCAGCAGCCGCAGUAAUACGUAGGGGGCAAGCGUUAUCCGGAAUUACGGGGGGUAAAGGGUGAGUAGGCUGCAUGGUAAGCCAGAUGUGGAAGCCUUGGGCUUAACCCGAGGAUUGCAUUUGGAACUAUCAAGCUAGAGUACAGGAGAGGAAAGCGGAAAUCCUAGUGUAGCGGUGAAAUGCGUAGAUAUUAGGAAGAACACCAGUGGCGAAGGCGGCUUUCUGGACUGAAACUGACGCUGAGGCACGAAAGCGUGGGGAGCGAACAGGAUUAGAUACCCCAGUAGUC